AGAGUUUGAUCCUGGCUCAGGAUGAACGCUAGCUACAGGCUUAACACAUGCAAGUCGAGGGGCAGCAUUUUAGUUUGCUUGCAAACUAAAGAUGGCGACCGGCGCACGGGUGAGUAACACGUAUCCAACCUGCCGAUAACUCGGGGAUAGCCUUUCGAAAGAAAGAUUAAUAUCCGAUAGUAUAUUAAAACCGCAUGGUUUUACUAUUAAAGAAUUUCGGUUAUCGAUGGGGAUGCGUUCCAUUAGUUUGUUGGCGGGGUAACGGCCCACCAAGACUACGAUGGAUAGGGGUUCUGAGAGGAAGGUCCCCCACAUUGGAACUGAGACACGGUCCAAACUCCUACGGGAGGCAGCAGUGAGGAAUAUUGGUCAAUGGACGAGAGUCUGAACCAGCCAAGUAGCGUGAAGGAUGACUGCCCUAUGGGUUGUAAACUUCUUUUAUAUGGGAAUAAAGUUUUCCACGUGUGGAAUUUUGUAUGUACCAUAUGAAUAAGGAUCGGCUAACUCCGUGCCAGCAGCCGCGGUAAUACGGAGGAUCCGAGCGUUAUCCGGAUUUAUUGGGUUUAAAGGGAGCGUAGGUGGAUUGUUAAGUCAGUUGUGAAAGUUUGCGGCUCAACCGUAAAAUUGCAGUUGAAACUGGCAGUCUUGAGUACAGUAGAGGUGGGCGGAAUUCGUGGUGUAGCGGUGAAAUGCUUAGAUAUCACGAAGAACUCCGAUUGCGAAGGCAGCUCACUAGACUGCAACUGACACUGAUGCUCGAAAGUGUGGGUAUCAAACAGGAUUAGAUACCCUGGUAGUCCACACAGUAAACGAUGAAUACUCGCUGUUUGCGAUAUACAGUAAGCGGCCAAGCGAAAGCAUUAAGUAUUCCACCUGGGGAGUACGCCGGCAACGGUGAAACUCAAAGGAAUUGACGGGGGCCCGCACAAGCGGAGGAACAUGUGGUUUAAUUCGAUGAUACGCGAGGAACCUUACCCGGGCUUAAAUUGCAUUUGAAUAAUCUGGAAACAGGUUAGCCGCAAGGCAAAUGUGAAGGUGCUGCAUGGUUGUCGUCAGCUCGUGCCGUGAGGUGUCGGCUUAAGUGCCAUAACGAGCGCAACCCUUAUCUUUAGUUACUAACAGGUCAUGCUGAGGACUCUAGAGAGACUGCCGUCGUAAGAUGUGAGGAAGGUGGGGAUGACGUCAAAUCAGCACGGCCCUUACGUCCGGGGCUACACACGUGUUACAAUGGGGGGUACAGAAGGCAGCUACCUGGCGACAGGAUGCUAAUCCCAAAAACCUCUCUCAGUUCGGAUCGAAGUCUGCAACCCGACUUCGUGAAGCUGGAUUCGCUAGUAAUCGCGCAUCAGCCAUGGCGCGGUGAAUACGUUCCCGGGCCUUGUACACACCGCCCGUCAAGCCAUGAAAGCCGGGGGUACCUGAAGUACGUAACCGCAAGGAGCGUCCUAGGGUAAAACUGGUAAUUGGGGCUAAGUCGUAACAAGGUAGCCGUACCGGAAGGUGCGGCUG
rnacentral:rRNA from 1 species